ACAAUGCAUUUCUUCCUAAUUCACAGGCUCUAUUUUUAAGCUUGAAUAAAAUAUAUUUCCUGGGUAAAUGGAUUUGGAGAAAUGUCAGAUCUCAAUCACAAAUGAGGUGACUCUUCCCAGCUGUGCAUCCCAGCCUCCAUUAGAAACCCCUGCCAGUCUCCUUUUCUUGAUCUCUGAAGGCUAAUUUAGAUCUGCAUGAGAAGAACAGGCAAUGAAUUUGUUAAAAAUGAGUAACUCCCAGAUAAUACUUUCCUGCAAUUAAGGAGGACACGCGGAAAGAUCAGGCACCGGCUUACAAAUACAUUACCAGAGAGAAUGUUCCAAUAUUUUGUUUGUGCAAGUUGUUGCUGAAUCCACAGAUAAUUUGAUCAUUCAUAUCCAUCUCCAUAGAACAAGGUUUUCAGGCUCACCCUUGUUGAUGCGUGUGGAUGGGAUUCAAAGAAGAGAGACAAGAUGGCAGAAGGAGAUGACAGCAUCCAGCAAGGCACCCACAUGCUAUUUGAAUGGAGCCACCAGUUAAAUUCAGCAGCCAGACAUUAGAUACCAGGUGUGAGGAGAUCUGGAACUGGGUUCAGGAGAGUGGAGGCCAAAUUUGUACCAGCUGUAAUUUCCAACAAUAUGGCGGUCAGCUGCCUGAAGCCAAGAAAGCAGCUCCCCAGAAUUUCACAGCAGUGAGGCCUGGGGACAGUAAAUUAUGCCAUCUUGACAUACAAUUUAUUUGUUUUGUCUCUGUGUGAUUAUAGUAAAGUAUGGUUAAAGAAAUUACUGAAAGUCUCUAAUGUAUUGAUCAUUUAUUUAAAAGAGAAAGUUUUAUUAUGGAACAGGGUAAAACAGUGAUUUCCUUAUUAUUAUUUAAUAAUUUUUCCCCUGGUAACCAGUAGAAGGUGCGUACAUGGCUCAUAGUUUCAAAUUUGUUAUAUAAGUCAAAGUGAAGUAGGAUAGAGAA